rnacentral:rRNA from 1 species
UGCCAGAGCUUUGGUUAAUUUGGGCAAGUCUUGCAAUAACACUCGCAUGGAUUUCAUAUAUGCAGCCACCCCCAUCACCUGCAUGGCCAUGUUUUGGCACUCACCUUGGCUCAAUGGGUGGAAGCCGAAGGAUAUCGCUUCCGCCAUAUUCCUCAUCUCAAAAAGGAAGAAUUCAACGGUGCGUGAUGCUCUCGGGGACCUUGCUUGGAUUGCUAGGAUCGACAUGUCGAACGGGCUCCAUCAACCAAUAUCCAGCAGUUAUACGAACUUGACUGAUGCUAUUACUUGCAAUGUCACCACCAAACGGGUGUAUUCGGUGGCCUCCACAUAUAAGGUGUGGUUCGAGGGGACGCCGCCCAAGUGCAAAUUCUUUGCGUGCAUAUCUUUCUUAUCGAGCAUCGACAACUCCAAGAGAUAG